rnacentral:misc_RNA from 1 species
CAGAGUUGCAAGACUCCCUAAACCAUUGUGAACCUACCUUCUACCGUUGCUUCGACGGGCGGGCCCAGCGCCCCCCCCCGGCCCCCCGCGGGCGCCCGCCGGGAGGAUACCCAAACUCUUGACAUUAGUGGCCUCUCUGAGUAUUCUUUACUGAAUAAGUCAA